GUGGGGAAUAUUGGACAAUGGGCGAAAGCCUGAUCCAGCCAUGCCGCGUGUGUGAAGAAGGUCUUCGGAUUGUAAAGCACUUUAAGUUGGGAGGAAGGGCAUUAACCUAAUACGUUAGUGUUUUGACGUUACCGGCAGAAUAAGCACCGGCUAACUUCGUGCCAGCAGCCGCGGUAAUACGAAGGGUGCAAGCGUUAAUCGGAAUUACUGGGCGUAAAGCGCGCGUAGGUGGUUCGUUAAGUUGGAUGUGAAAGCCCCGGGCUCAACCUGGGAACUGCAUCCAAAACUGGCGAGCUAGAGUACGGUAGAGGGUGGUGGAAUUUCCUGUGUAGCGGUGAAAUGCGUAGAUAUAGGAAGGAACACCAGUGGCGAAGGCGACCACCUGGACUGAUACUGACACUGAGGUGCGAAAGCGUGGGGAGCAAACAGGAUUAGAUACCCCGGUAGUCC
rnacentral:rRNA from 1 species